rnacentral:lncRNA from 1 species
CUUAAAGCAGGCGCCUCCCUGCCACCUGGUUAAAAUUCCUCCUCCUCUCCCCACCUCCCUACAUCCAUUUUGCUCCUGUGCUGUUUAAACAAUACUUCAUCAAAUGCAGCCUGGAGCAAAUAAGAAAGCUCAGUAGAGUAAAUAAAAAGUCAAAAAAAAAAUCACCGGCUGGAGGCCCUCCAGGCCUCUCGUUGGUGCUCAGUACAAAACUCCACCCCUGCCACUCGUGAAACAAGGAAAUCUUUAGAUGGAUGCCACUGGGCCCCAUGCCAUCCCUGCACAGCCCAAAAGCCAUGCCUGUAAUAUACACGAGGCUUCGUGCCAAACCGACUUUUCAGUUGAGCAGCUCUUCAAACUCAGGAAGAGAAGAGGAAUUUGCAUUUAGCCAUGAAGAAUCAAAAGACUCUUUGCACACAUUUCUUAAGGAAAGGACAUUUAGGAACCUGGAAAAGCUUAUGCCAUAUAAUCUCAGAGUAUAAGAAACAGCAGGGCAUCUCUGAGGCCAGCAGGGCAUCUCUGAGGAUGACAGGGCCAAUGAUGCCAUUUUGCAGAGGAGAAAACUGAGGCCAGAGAAAGCAAAUGAGUUGCCUGCAUCUGGGACUGGACAAAACAGAUGUGCAGUUAAGGAACAGCUGUUGAGAGACGGAGGUCAUAGCCAGAAGCUCAGUCAGUGUUCCAGCUUCAUCGGGUCCCCACUGAUCAGGUAGGCAUUGUCAAGAGCAUUUUACAAGUGAGAAAUAAUCAUGGAUUACUUCCCUUAGGCCCCAAUCCUAGGACACAGCAGAACCGUGACGAGAACAUAGGGUUCCUGGCUUCAAAGACAAUGCUUCUUCUAUUCUGUGUCAUCUUUUGGAGGGAAGCUUGCACAUAGAUUUGUGCUAAGGGGAGUGUGAAGUGAAGAGGAUGCAGAUGGAGGCACCUUGGUGCGUUCAGGCUUGUUUCCAUCACCACCGUCAUCUGGGGCUGGUGGGACUCGACCUCUGUAUUUCCCCUUCUGAAGAAUCCCGUAUUCCAUUCCCAGAGAAAAAGGCCCUAAUCGACAUGAGUUCUUCAGUUAAAUUAAUUUAAUUAAUAUAAACCAAUGCUGCUUUAAGAAUUUGAAAGGUCUGUAAACUUAAAUAAUUGUUUUUAAUACAAAGCUUCCUGAAGGAGGAAAUGGCAACCCACUUCAGCCCA